ensembl:miRNA MIR4454 microRNA 4454
CCGGAUCCGAGUCACGGCACCAAAUUUCAUGCGUGUCCGUGUGAAGAGACCACCA